CAUGGUUAUGGGCAUGGUGGAGAUGGAUAGUGUAUGGGAACUGCUGAGUCACAGCCUGAACCACUAAUUGAGCAUCUGGAGGAACGACCCAGUCAGCCCUGGGAGCGCAGGUGAAGGUAAUUCACCUGUGAUACCAGAAGGGGUGGAGCUUGGCUCUACUCCACUUAGACCUCAUUUAAGGGCUGGCAGCCACUGAGGAAGGACCUUUUGUUGGAGAUCUCUCCUCUGUGGAGUUUUAACCUGAGCCUAGAUCUUCAGAGAGAGGAGCCUGGAUGUAGCAGUGGCAUUGGGCAGCAGAUGGUAGGAUACGUGCAUCUCUGCAGGUAUCUGUGCAAACCAGAUAAUGGGGGGAGCACUGGUUAUUCACCAGUAACACCACCUGUUUUGCCAUUAGUCCCAAAGAGCUGUAGAUCACACCACAAGUGGCAUCUCUUUGAAGUUACAGGUGUUCUGUCUGUGCUGCACCCAACAAGAACCAGAGACAGCAAUGUCAUGGGACCGGAGGGAGACUCUGUAUUCUGCCUCAUUCCUCAAGCUUUUCUCAGCCAGGGAGUCCGUGAUGGAAGCCAUCUCCCUAGCAAAAUGUUGUGUUUCUGCAGAUGCUCCCUACCUCCAUUUUGCAGAGGAAGCCUGAGAGGAGCAGGCACUGGUACCAGCAGCAGGAGGAGCAGCCCUGUGUUUCCCUGAUGACAGUUACGUUGCUUGUAUGCUGAAAUUGUGUACCCUCUAUGGAGAUGUUGAAUUCAGGUUGGAUAUUAGGAAAAACUUCUCAGAGUGGUAAUGCACUGGCACUGCUGCCCAGGGAGUGGUGCUGGAGUCACCAUCCCUGGAGGUGUUCAAGAACUGUGGAGAUGUGGCACUGAGGGUUGUAGCUAUGGGCAUGGUGGGUGUGGGUUGGGAUUGGAUGUGGUGGUCCAAGUGAUCUUGCCUAACCUUCAUGAUUCUGGAUUCUCAUCCAUGGAACCUCAGUAGUGCACCUGUUCCUGGGGGCUGGAAGCAAUGUUGCUUUUAAUUGGCUAAUGUUGCCCUAUAAAACUUGAGCUUUAAGACUCAGAAACCUGAUAGCAGCUUGGUGUUCCCUUGGAAAUCACCAGAGAUGGCCCGAGAGCACCUAAAAGGAAGAGAGUGUAAGUUCUGUUUUCUUUAAUUGAAUUUUUAAUUAUUACUUGAUAUUUGCUCUCUGCAAGAAGAAGCUAACUUUGUCCUCGGCCUGGCUAGAAGCUGAGGAGAAGGCUCAUAAAUAUUCAUUUGAAACUGUUGCAAAUUAAUUUCACUGCAGUUCUUUGUGGUUUUGCUUCUCACAAGCAUUCAAGUGAAUGUGUUUUGGUAUAAGGGGUGGUAAACAGAAAAGGCAAUUAAAAAAAAAAGUGUAGCAAAUAUUUGCCAAAAAUAAUAAAAAGAAAAGUUAUUCACCUAAUUUACAAGCAAAUUCAGAGUAGGAAGAACUGCUGUCACCCCACUGGGACCAUCCAAUAUGCUGCAUCACCUGCAUAUUCAAGUGGGUCACACUGCACAUUUCAAGUCAGCAGAAGUGACUCAGAAGUCAAACAAAUGGCUUGGAAAUUCACAGGAAAAUUUUAACAAAAAAAAAAAGGAAAAAUGAGCAGCAGAACUGCAGCAGUUCUUCCUCGAUUCUGCUGGUGAAUGCUCAGUUUUUCUCUGUUGCAUCUACCUCUUAUCUAUUUAUUUUUUGCUGCUUUUUAGUUAAACUUCAUGCUUUUUGUUUAGGCAGCUGAAAUAUGUAUUUCACCUGUAGUAUUUCUUAUUGGAGAGGUGAAUCCGGAACUGUUUUGAGAUUGGAAACAAAAAAGUAGCUAUUGCUGUGAGAUCUGGGGUCUUUCUGCUACACCAAAAGCUUAUGAAAGAAGAAAAGUUGAGUUCUGUUGAUCAGGAUUGCAUACAUGUGUUUGCAUUCACACCUUAAUGUUCAUUGCAAUGGUUCUGUUCCCUCUUUCCCCCCCUGCUUCCUCCAUCCAAGGUCUAAUUAAAACAAGAGUGCACUGGGCUGCCUUUUGGUCUGUUUCAUCUGCUGAUAUUUUUUUAUGUUAAAUCCACUAAGGAAAUCUCCUGAAGGCUUUGAAGACUUGGGGUGUGUGAAUAAAGAUGUCACAAUGCUAGACUUGGGGCUUCUUAAUGAGGACAGAAGGUUUGAUGUCAGAACACUUCAGUGCCCAAAGGAAAGAGAUACUCUCCAGCAAGCUCCCUUUCUCACUUUAUUUUUUGUAUCCCUGUUGCAAAGGCUAAAGCUUUUU